rnacentral:misc_RNA from 1 species
GAUGAAGAACGUAGCGAAAUGCGAUAAGUAAUGUGAAUUGCGGAAUUCAGUGAAUCAUCGAGUCUUUGAACGCACAUUGCGCCCCCUGGUAUUCCGGGGGGCAUGCCUGUCCGAGCGUCAUUGCUGCCCUCAAGCACGGCUUGUGUGUUGGGCCCCCGUCCCCGGUUUCCCCCGGGGACGGGCCCGAAAGGCAGCGGCGGCACCGCGUCCGGUCCUCGAGCGUAUGGGGCUUUGUCACCCGCUCUGUAGGCCCGGCCGGCGCCAGCCGACACCCAACUUUAUUUCUAAGGUUGACCUCGGAUCAGGUAGGGAUACCCGCUGAACUUAAGCAUAUCAAUAAGCGGAGGA